UACGGGGGGGGCAAGCGUUGUUCGGAAUUACUGGGCGUAAAGAGUGCGUAGGCGGUUCUUUGUGUCCGCUGUGAAAGCCCCGGGCUCAACCUGGGAAUGGCGAUGGAUACUGGCUCGCUAGAGUGCGGUAGAGGAGAGUGGAAUUCCCGGUGUAGCGGUGAAAUGCGCAGAUAUCGGGAGGAACACCAGUAGCGAAGGCGGCUCGCUGGGCCAUUCCUGACGCUGAGACGCGAAAGCUAGGGGAGCGAACAGG
rnacentral:rRNA from 1 species